ensembl:misc_RNA 7SK 7SK RNA
GGAUGUGAGGGUGAUCUGACUGUGACAUCUGUCACCCCAUUGAUCUCCAGGGUUGAUUCGGCUGAUCUGGCUGGCUAGGCGGGUGUCCCCUUUCUCCCUCACCGCUCCAUGUGCGUCCCUCCUGAAGCUGCGCCUUGGUCGGGGAGGACGACCACCCCUGAUAGAGGACCGUUUCCCCGGUCGAGGGUGUACUACAAGUAGCUGCGCUCCGCUGCUAGAACCUCCAAACAAGCUCUCAAGAAAUAAGCUCUAAAAGAGCUAAAACGCUAUACCAAGAGAGUUUAUUUACUGAAUACUAAGCACUCCUC